CUUUAAUUUCAUGCUGACAGAUGCAGCCAAAAAACAAGGAGCAAAAGUGGUGGAAGCCGAGGAAAAAAUAAAAACCUGGCUGAAGUAUAGUGGAGACCGAAAUGGAGGAAGAAAAAAAAGAGCAACAGAAAAAGAAAAGCAGAUGCCUCCCCCUCAAGCAGAUUCCAGCAGCUGUGAAAGUGAAUUGUAUGCUGCUACUUCUCCUCCUCCGCUCCGUCUUCAUCAUCAGAGCCACACA